rnacentral:rRNA from 1 species
UCUAGAGAUUGCAUCGAUGAAGAACGCAGCGAAUUGCGAUAAGUAAUGUGAAUUGCAGAUUUUCAGUGAAUCAUCGAAUCUUUGAACGCACCUUGCGCUCCUUGGUAUUCCGAGGAGCAUGCCUGUUUGAGUGUCAUCGAAUCAUCAACCAUGCCUUGAUUGAUUUCAAGGCAUGGCUUGGAGUUGGGAGUUUGCUGGCAGCGAAACGCUAUCAGCUCUCCUGAAAUGCAUUAGCAAAGGGCGGCAAGUCUGUUGUGCACGGCCUUCGACGUGAUAAUGAUCGUCGUGGCUGGAGCUUCGGACAUGCAUGAAUCGACCUUGCUUACGAACCAUUUUACCCUAGCCUUCGAGCUGCUCAGCUACUAGCUGGUCGUGAGGCCGGCGAAUGUCGGGCGGCUUGGGGACUUUGGGCUAUUUCGAAACUUGACCUCAAAUCAGGUAGGACUACCCGCUGAACUUAAGCAUAUCAAUAAGCGGAGGA